rnacentral:rRNA from 1 species
AAAUUGAAGAGUUUGAUCAUGGCUCAGGUUGAACGCUGGCGGCAGGCCUAACACAUGCAAGUCGAACGGUAACAGGAAGAAGCUUGCUUCUUUGCUGACGAGUGGCGGACGGGUGAGUAAUGUCUGGGAAACUGCCUGAUGGAGGGGGAUAACUACUGGAAACGGUAGCUAAUACCGCAUAACGUCGCAAGACCAAAGAGGGGGACCUUCGGGCCUCUUGCCAUCG